GACGAACGCUGGCGGCGUGCUUAACACAUGCAAGUCGAACGGAAAGGCCCUGCUUUUGUGGGGUGCUCGAGUGGCGAACGGGUGAGUAACACGUGAGUAACCUGCCCUUGACUUUGGGAUAACUUCAGGAAACUGGGGCUAAUACCGGAUAGGAGCUCCUGCUGCAUGGUGGGGGUUGGAAUGUUUCGGCGGUUGGGGAUGGACUCGCGGCUUAUCAGCUUGUUGGUGGGGUAGUGGCUUACCAAGGCUUUGACGGGUAGCCGGCCUGAGAGGGUGACCGGCCACAUUGGGACUGAGAUACGGCCCAGACUCCAACGGGAGGCAGCAGUGGGGAAUAUUGCACAAUGGGCGGAAGCCUGAUGCAGCAACGCCGCGUGCGGGAUGACGGCCUUCGGGUUGUAAACCGCUUUCGCCUGUGACGAAGCGUGAGUGACGGUAAUGGGUAAAGAAGCACCGGCUAACUACGUG
rnacentral:rRNA from 1 species